UAAUACAUAAGCUUUGAAUAGGAAGAUUUUCAGUUUUAAUUUUGGUUGGUGUAUUGUACUUACGCAUGCUGAAUGAUGGAAAACAAUAACCGAUAUAAUUUAUUUAUUAUAAAUAGAGAACCGCACGCUUUUCGGUAUAAUAUUAUAUCCAUGUGGAAGCGUUCAGUAUCUGUGUAGUAAACAAAGCCAUUUUGUUGAUAUCUACAAUUAUCAAUGUUAUAAGCCAGUUUUCGUUUCAAAAUAACCUUUGUGCCGAACUUUGCUUCGGAGUGUUGGGAAAAUUACAUCACACAAGUUAAAGAAACGAAUAGUUUCAUACUUGCGUACUUCAAAUUAUAAUAGCUGCUGAUGAACUAUGGUCGUUCAUCUCGAAAGCUUUACUUGCUAGUUUUAUCGAUACUAUAAGUUUGCGUUCGUUAGCAUAUAAUAACAAAACGUCAACAUAUGAAGAAGCUACAAGUUGAUGCGUCUUGUUUUGCUUAUCGGUCUGUGUCUGCUGAAUGUGCUGUUCGUCAGUUGUCAAGAUCAACAAUUAUCGGAUCCGUUCCGCAAACCAUAUGAACCAUUUGACCCUUACUCUUAUGCGACUGACGAUAAUCCCGACAGCUGGUUUUCGCCGGAUAAAAUUGGAAAAUACUACAGCGGAGGUUAUGGGUUCACGGUGGAUUUUGUGGACGCUUAUGACUCCGAUUCAGAAUCAAAUUUUAAUUUGAAAGUAUUGGCAAGUCAGGAUGGUAAAAGCCCGAAUUGGCGCAUCGUAACGAAUAUGGGAAAUAAUAACGAAUACGUCAACUGCAAAGUGGAAGAUGACAAAUGGUUUGCGCAAGGUCAAAACUUUUACGACGGUGACGCUGUAUGCAACUGCCAUAUGCUCUACACCAUCGAAGCAAACACUUACCCUCCAGAUUCAGAUGUUCCAGUACCAUCUGGGUUUUAUUAUGUCACAAAACGACAGUUCGUAGCGACUGCAGAUAAAAAACAAAAAAACUUCAUUUAUCAUGUUCGGGCAUACCUUUGUGACCUUAAGUACUGCUGCGAUAACCCUUCGCCAACCACUACUACGAUCGAUCCGCCUUCGACUAUACCGAUUGUUAGUUCCGAAGCGACAACAGAAUACACAACCACUGCCUUGAUAUCAACCACGGCAUCGACCUCCACUAUGCCGACAACGGUGACUACCGAAGCUGUGACAACGUCAGCGCGGGCUACACCGACAACCACAACGGCGAGCACGACAACAACACCGCUAAUGACAACAACCAUACCGGCCACAGUACAGGUUACGACUAGAGCAACGUCAUCAUCGGCAACUCGGAUCACGACAGGAAUAAGUGGGAACAUGCAAGACCAGACAAUGAAUGUCACAACAGUGAACCUCAUGGAUAAUAUUACUGCGGCCGAAACAAUGGAAACAUUGCCUGAUGUAGCUGUAAAAGGCAGGGAAGUUGACGAAUCCAAAUCGACUACCGGGAGAACCAAAAACGCUACCCUAAUGUCUAAUACCACAGAAGAAGGUCUAUCCAUGUGGGCUAUCGUCGGAACUGCGGCCGGUGUUGGGGUAAGAAUGCAUAUUAACUUUCAUAGCAGUCGGAGCCCUAUACCGCUGUGUGAAGCAUCGUAUGCAAAACGAUGCAGAGAGCAUAUCCUCUGCUUCAAUGAGCCAGUCGACUGUUGCAAAAUCCCAUGCGUUGCCGAUCCGUCGUAAAGAGACCUACUACGCUAAGGUCACGGUGCGACGUUUGAGGCACGAAGCGUAAUAAACACGAAAAAGGCCAAGUGGUGUCACGCUGCUCUAAACAAUACUUGGAUUCCAAGCAUUUCUUCUUGGCAAUAUUCCAUCGUUUUGACGGCCGCUGCAAUUACGCUUUUUAUUGCUGGAACGAUAUGGAUCGCAGUAACUAAGUGUUUCCUGGGAAGAGAGCAGUAGACAUAUGAUUGGUAGUGGUGCCCGGAAAAUUGAAAAUUGUUGGAAAUGGCAGGUUACUCGGGAUGAUAUCGAGUAAUGGGGUUCAUCCGUUCGACAUAGAAAAUGGGCGUGCUGGAGCGCCAGAUUAAGGGUUUAGUAACUGUAAUUCUGUUAAUUCGGGUUAUUUUUGACUUUGUCUUUUUAUAAUAGCCUUUUAUCCUGUCACAAUAUCGUUUCUGCGUUAUCGUUUCUUCUUACAAUUUUCUUGCUUUAUUAUUAUUUUUUGUGAAUUCUUAAUUUUUUUAUAAUACUGUAUUGCGGUAAAUCGAAUGUGCUUCCACUUUACUAGUAGAAAUCUACAGUAUGUAUCGAUAAACGAAAAUUAAGUACUGUAGAAGUAUGCAUUUUAGCUGUUUCAGUCGAGGCUAUAUUUUGCCAGCGGGUUAGAUGUUAAUCUCUGUAUCAAUGGUUAGACAAGGAUUACGUAACAGCGAAAGGGUGGUAUACCUCUUAAAGCGCUAUAUAGUACUGUACUGCAGUACUCGCAACUUGCAAGGAAUCAGGUACAGUAGAAAGCAUUUUUUUAGACGGCAUUUAUCCUAACCAUUUAUGGCAAGCAAAUAUUCCGUAGCAACAUCAUACUAAUGACUCUUGUUUAACUGCUAGAAAUAAUGCGAAAUCACAAUCAGAACCGCUCCGUUCUGCUAAAAAAUCUGCAUGGUGAAUGGUUAAUAAUGUGGUACUACUCAAUUGGUGUAGCGCUGAAUGGCGGUAUUUUCUGUCAAAUAAGCGUUUUGUUGUUGGUAUUGUGCAGUCAGAUCUUUGUGAUCAAAGGCCAAGCCACCAGCACAACGGCAAAAAGUACGACAACGGGAAUAACGACAACUCGUUCGUACACGGGUCCAAAUGCAACUAAUCCUUGUCCAAACAUGGUCUACGGUUUUAAUCAACAGGAUCCGGCCACAAAAGCCAUAAUUGGUAAAAACCGCCAAUGGUACAACUGGGACUGCACUACAUACAUAGCCCAUACUCAGCAUUUGACUCUGGCACAGUUCUGCUUGUAUUACGGAGAGUGGGGCUAUGGAAGAGAUGUUUAUCCCAACGUGCCGCGUUGCUGCGAUAGUUGGGAAAAAAACGGUUGCUUUCGUAUGCCGCAAACUUGUCCUAGAGCUAUCGGGAAGGAAACUGCACCGCGGUACGAGUCUUGGCGAACCGUGGGCUACUGGUAUGGGUGCCUUUAUUAUCCUAAUACGUAUCCAAGUGCCCAAGCCUUUUGCGCGUCGAAGAAAAUAUUCGGUUGGGAUUUAAUGAAUUGUUGUACUCACUGGACUAGUAUUAAAUGCUUUUAAAUCCAAAUAGAUGGCUUGAAGCUCAAAAGCUUGCGCUCAGAAAGCUUUUGCGCAGAAAAACAACGCAGAAUCACUUUUUUCGGUGUAAAUAUUGUACGACAAAGUAAGCCCAUUAAUAAACUGCUCUGUUGGAAAAA